AUUGAACGCUGGCGGCAGGCCUAACACAUGCAAGUCGAGCGAGCGGCGGACGGGUGAGUAAUGUAUGGGGACUGCCCGAUAGAGGGGGAUAACAACUGGAAACGGUAGCUAAUACCGCAUACUAUCGGAUAACCCAUAUGGGAUUGGCUAGUAGGUGAGGUAAUGGCGCACCUAGGCGACGAUCCCUAGCUGGACUGAGAGGAUGAUCAGCCACACUGGGACUGGUACACGGCCCAGACUCCUACGGAGGCUGCAGUCGGGAAUAUUGCGCAGUGGGCGCGAGCCUGGUGCAGCCAUGCCGCGGUUAUGAAGAAGGCCCUAGGGUUGUAAAGUACUUUCAGUCGGGAGGCGUUACCGACAGAAGAAGCACCGGCUAACUCCGUGCCAGCAGCCGCGGUAAUUC
rnacentral:rRNA from 1 species